rnacentral:lncRNA from 1 species
ACGAGUGCCACAAUACCUGGACCACUACGUGGUCCCAGAUGCAAAAGGGAAACAGACUCUGAUAGCAAAAGAGCAUGAGUAAUAGCUACUAGAGUAGUAUAAGUAGUGGCAGAUUUCACUAAAGAAGGCAUGGAUGAACUUGCUUUUCUUUUAGUUGCUUAGAAUAGAUCUGGAACCUCCCUUUUCUUCUUUUUUCCUUUGUUUUGCUUCUUGUUAUUCCCAGAAGAAGAGGAACAGGUCCCUCUUGUGACCUGCAACAAGUUCAUCUUUAAUACAAAGUUCCUCUUGUUACAUUUGGUGCUUUCAUUGUCCCUCCUUCUACCAUGGGUGAUGGUGUACACAAUACUCGCCUCAAAUCGCUUGAUGAGGCUGUGAAACAACUUCAAGAACAAUCUGUUGGCCAUGCUAAAGCCGUGGAGUCCAUCAACACUGCCUUACAAGAUAUUGUAACUCAACUGGCUUCGUUGCGUCCUUCGUCGCUGGUGCCAUCUCUAGUCGCUGGUAGCCCUUCUUCAGUUUUGGGUCAAUCAUCUGUGCCACUUCCCCAAACUUUUUAUCAGCAUACUCCCCCACCACCCACACUGAAUCGGCAACCCCCAGUACACCAGGUGCUUCCAGUUCCACCCCAUGGCCUUAAUCCAUUUCGACGUGAUAAACCGGCACCGAUUGACUUGGCUAAGUUUGAUGGAACCAACGCAGAGAGUUGGGCUUUCCAAGCUCAUCAGUAUUUUGACACUUACACUGUUCCAGAUGAGCAACGCUUGAAUGUAUGCUCUUUCUUUCUAGAGGGAGAUGCACGAGAUUGGUAUCAGUGGAUGUACCGGAAUCGCCAACUCUGUGGAUGGGACCACUUCCUUAGGGCUCUUGUUACUCGUUUUGGGUCUAAAUCAAUGGAGGCACCAGAAAGCUUGUUGGCAAAACUACAGAUGCAAACCUCCGUUCGUGACUAUCUUUCUCAAUUUGAGAAACUGGCCAAUCGUACCUCUGAUGUAUCGCCGCCUUUAAUGAAGCAUUUUUUUACCUCUGGACUUCACCCUGAUAUUAAAUCAGAUGUUCUGGCUUUUCGACCCGCGGACCUCAAUGAAGCAAUUAGUCUGGCCUUUUUGCAAGAGCAAAAAAAGUUGGCCCAAGCUGGGACGAUGACCCGGCCCAACUAUCCGUCAAAAAUUCCUGCCAGCCCAUUUUCUUUCCACACCUCUCCUAGCCCUAAAAAUCCGACCCUUUCUUCAAGCUCCUCAGCCCCGACUGCAUCUAUUCCAGGUGUUGGUCGUACAUCAUUCAGGAAGCUAACACCGACAGAGCUUCAACGAAAACGUGAACUUAACCUUUGUUUCAAUUGUGAUGAAAAAUAUCACAAGGGUCAUAAAUGUUCAUCCAUCCCUCAACUCUUUUUACUUCUUGCCGAUGAUGAUACUACAGAGGACUCUCCUUAUGACUUGUCUCCACCCCCAUCAGAUUCACCACCUCCAGCUACCACCAUUGAAAACCCUUCUCUACUUAGCAUCAGUUACCAUGCCUUGUUCGGUGGCCCUCAUCCCUCUACGAUUCGUGUCACUACAUUUAUCAAAGGCCUCUCUGUGCAGAUACUCCUUGACGGAGGUAGCACACACAAUUUUAUUCAGCCUCGUGCUGCCAAAGCACUCAAAUUACUUGUAGAACCUUCUUCGGGUUUUUCAGUUAUGGUCGGAAAUGGCCAAGAACUGCGCUGUUUAGGUGUCGUUCGUGGUGUAGCACUCACCAUUCAGGGCUUCUCCUUUGUCACAGACUUCUUUAUUAUUGACUUGCAUGGUUCGGAUUUGGUCCUUGGAGUUACUUGGUUGGCCACAUUAGGUCCAUGUUUGACAGACUAUGUCAAUCGUACUUUUGAGUUUACACUGGACGGGAAACAUCACCGAUGGCAAGGUGAUCCUGCCCCCUCUCCUGCCCAAAUUAAUAUGUCCACUCUCAGGCGCUUCACUAAGACAGAUUCUAUUUCAUAUUUUCUCCGUCUAGAUCUUCAAUCUUCUACCCUCAUAUCACCAUGCCAUCACCCCCCUGACUUAGCCACUCUUCUAAAUUCUUUUCCAGAGAUUUUUCAUCACCCGUCCUCUUUACCACCUCAACGACCACAAGAUCAUCGCAUUCCCCUCUUGCCAGGAGCUAAUCCUGUAAAUGUCCGGCCAUAUCGUUACCCCCACUUCCAAAAAGCUGAAAUUGAAAAGCUUGUUUCUGAGAUGCUCAAGUCGGGAGUUAUUCGUCCCAGCUCGAGUCCAUAUUCUUCACCAGUGUUGUUAGUGCGUAAGAAGGAUGGUACUUGGCGCUUUUGUGUGGAUUACAGGGCUCUUAAUGCUAUCACUGUUAAGGAUAGAUUUCCAAUCCCAACCGUCGAUGAGCUUUUUGAUGAAUUGCACAAUGCUUGUGUAUUCUCUAAGUUGGACUUAUUAGCCGGAUACCAUCAAAUUCGCCUCCAUCCCCCAGAUAUCGAAAAGACCGCAUUUCGAACUCAUGAAGGCCAUUAUGAAUUUACUGUGAUGCCAUUUGGUCUUUCGAAUGCUCCAUCUACUUUUCAAUCAACCAUGAAUUCCAUUUUUAAGCCAUUUCUACGCCAAUUUGUCCUUGUUUUCUUCGAUGACAUCCUAGUUUAUAGCACGUCUUGGCAGGAUCACUUACAACACCUUAGAUCAGUCUUUGAUCUUCUCCGACAAAAUUCUUUGGUGGUGAAGCAAUCAAAAUGCCAAUUUGGGCAGUCUUCCAUUUCUUGCUUGGGUCAUAUUCUUUCUGAAAAAGGCUUACAAGUUGACCCUGAGAAGAUUAUUGCUAUCGUUUCUUGGCCUUUGCCUUCAUCUGUAAAGGAUGUCCGUGCCUUUCUGGGUUUAACGGGGUACUAUCGUCGUUUUGUCAAAGGAUAUGCCCAGUUAGCUUCACCCCUCACUGAUCUUCUGAAAAAGGACUCAUUUGUAUGGUCCGAUAAGGCUUCUGUUGCUUUUGCCAAAUUGAAAGAGGCUCUUGGCUCCGUCCCUGUUUUAUUCUUGCCUGAUUUUUCCAAGGAUUUUGUGGUAGAAACAGAUGCAUCAGGUACUGGCAUUGGUGCGGUUCUUUGCCAAGACAGUCACCCAAUCGCAUUCUUCAGCCAAAAAUUAUCUUCAAGGAUGCAAGCUGCUUCUACUUACAAUCGUGAAAUGUUUGCCAUCACGCAGGCUGUUCAAAAGUGGCGCCAAUACUUAUUGGGCCGUCGUUUUACCAUUUUAACUGAUCAGCAACCUUUGAAAGCCCUUACAAGUCAGGUUAUCCAGACCCCUGAACAACAACGUUGGCUUAGCAAGUUAAUUGGGUAUGAUUUUGAGAUACGCUUUCGCCCAGGCAAAUUAAAUUCUGCUGCCGAUGCUUUAUCUCGCGUUCCUGCUUGUUUUGCGUUAUCUUUGGCCAUCACUGAAAUAGCUUUGGUUGACAAGCUUAAGGCGUUGAACAAAUCCAAUGAGGAAUUAUUAGCUCUCCAACAGAAAUUGUUGAAUACUCCAGAUUUUAUGUCCUCAUUCUCCUUUCAGGAAGGUCUCCUGUUAUUCAAGAAUCGCCUGGUUAUUCCCAAGGAUGCAUCUUUGCGUCUAAUGCUAUUGGAAGAAUUUCAUGCUUCCAAAAUUGGAGGUCAUGCAGGCGUCGCUCGCACAUUUCACCGACUGUCUUCAAAUUUUUAUUGGGUUGGCAUGCGAUCUGAUGUCAAGAAGUUCGUCUCUGAAUGUCAAAUUUGUCAGCAGAUGAAGGAUUCACAACUGAAACCUGCGGGAUUACUGUCUCCCUUGCCGAUUCCUUCUGAGAUUUUUGCUGAAAUUUCCAUGGACUUUAUUACAGGCCUUCCAUCAUCUCAGGGGCGCACUGUGAUCUUGGUGAUUGUAGAUAGAUUGUCGAAGUAUGGACAUUUUAUUGCUCUAUCUGCAAAUUUUACCAGUCAAAAAGUAGCAGAAGUCUUUGUCCAAGAAUUUGUCCGGUUACAUGGUUUUCCUACCAAAAUCGUAUCUGACCGCGAUCCCAUUUUCAUCUCUGAAUUUUGGACGGAAAUUAACAAACUCCAGGGAACUCAUUUGGCCAAGAGUUCUGCUUAUCAUCCACAAACGGAUGGCCAAACAGAGUCACUGAACAAAUGCCUUGAAAUGUAUCUCCGUUGUUUUGCUACAGAUACUCCUUCUACAUGGGUCCCUCUUCUUCCCUGGGCAGAAUUUUGGUACAAUACUUCAUACCAACACAGCUCCAAGAUGACUCCUUUUGAGGCAGUCUAUGGCCGGCCUCCUCCUAUUGUCUCUCGUUUUGUGUUAGACAGCACUUCCAAUCCUACAGUUUCGGGUUCUUUGCGACAACGCGAUGAAACAUUGGCUGUGUUGAAGUCUAAUUUACUGCAGGCUCAAGAUAGGAUGAAGUUUCAAGCUGACAAAGGUCGUAGGGAGGUGAUCUUUGAUAUUGGUGAUUGGGUGUAUGUCCGUCUUCGACCAUAUAGACAACUUUCAGUUCGUCUGCAACGCCAUUCCAAAUUGAGCAGGCGUUUCUUUGGACCCUUUCAGAUCAUUCAACGCAUUGGUGAUGUGGCUUAUAAACUCGAUCUGCCACCUUCUUCUCGAAUCCAUCCUGUGUUCCAUGUUUCAGUGUUACGUAAGUGUAUCGGCAAACCAACUAAUCAGAUUACACCUAUUGAAUUGUUGGACCAAACUCCCUCUGUCACACUUACACCUGAAGCUGUUUUAAAGACGAGAGAUGUUACCAAAGGGGCACAUAAGGUGCCUCAAUGCCUUGUCAAAUGGGUAGGUUUGCCUAUUGAAGAUGCAACUUGGGAGGACUCAUAUACCCUCUUGCAGCAGUUUCCUCACUUGAACCUUGAGGACAAGGUUCUUCUCCAUGAGGGCGGCAAUGUAAUGACUCCGCAGGACAAGUUGGACAACAACAGGCGUAGUACCAGGUACAAACGAGUGCCACAAUACCUGGACCACUACGUGGUCCCAGAUGCAAAAGGGAAACAGACUCUGAUAGCAAAAGAGCAUGAGUAAUAGCUACUAGAGUAGUAUAAGUAGUGGCAGAUUUCACUAAAGAAGGCAUGGAUGAACUUGCUUUUCUUUUAGUUGCUUAGAAUAGAUCUGGAACCUCCCUUUUCUUCUUUUUUCCUUUGUUUUGCUUCUUGUUAUUCCCAGAAGAAGAGGAACAGGUCCCUCUUGUGACCUGCAACAAGUUCAUCUUUAAUACAAAGUUCCUCUUGUUACACAUGCUCAUAAAA